rnacentral:lncRNA from 1 species
UACGAUCGAUCUGUCAGAUUUGAUCGUCUCCUACCUCCCUUCCUCUUACGAUUUGAUCGUCUCCUACCUCUCUUCCUCUUACGAUUUGAUCGGUGGUCUCCAGCCUCUUCUCCUCCUGUGGCUCCUACGAUCUGGUCUAUUGUCUUCUCCUCCUACGAUUUGGAUAUUUUAUUUUCCAUUUAGGUUAUGAACUUAUGAUAUUUUCUAUUGCUGAUCUAUGCCACUAUUGAUUUUCUAUUCCUCUAUUUAGGUUUUAUUUGGGUGUUUGAUUUGUUGAUUUUCCAUUCAGGUUUGAUGGAGAGUAAGGAGAAAAACCAGAGAGAUAGUGCAAUGGGUAGAUACGAAGCUUGUACGUAUACAAGCUAGUCUUGAAUUGUUGUCGGAUCAUUUCUUCUACCUUAUCGAUUUUUGGAUUAUUUAUUCAAUUCAUUUCAGCCUUGCUCUCUUGAGAAGAUCAACAAACUAAGAUUGUGCCCGAUAUUAAUUAAACAAUCCUCUCUUUAUUCUUUCAACUAAUGACAGAACUAUCAAAUUGUGGAAGGUGUUCUUCUGCUCAAGCCAUUUUUUACUAACAUUUUACUAACAAUUCAGGUUUGAUUUCUAUAUUUUCAGGUUCUAUUUCCGUCUGAUAGCACACUGCAUCGAUACGAUCUUCCAUUUUCCCUCCAAUUUUUGAAUCCGUUCGUCUCUAACGAACUGGAAAACUUUGGGCUUGGUGUGGGAGCAUAAAUUGAAUCCGUCUGAGACCUAAUAUUCAUUUGAAUUAAGUGAGUUAUCAUCUAUCUAGCCAUGUUGAUUAAUCCAUAUAAAUUUUUAGAAUCAAUUUCAAGUGAGAUCUUACUAUUUGAAAAUUAGUAAAAACUUUAAUCAUAAGCUUUCAUAUUUCCCUCCAUAUAUAUUCAACCUCAUUCAUUACUGAAGAUAUGUGUCAUAUUUAAUAUUAAAUGAUUUAAUCGUUGGAUGAAGAUUGAAUGACCAGAUGUGCAAGUUUUUAUUUAGUUCUCAAAUAAUGAGAUCUCAUUUGAAUUUUGCCCUAAAUUUUUAACAUGAUAUUGUACACCCUUCAACGACCAUCGAGCAUGGUUAAACUCAUUGUAUUAUUUGUGAACCACAAAUGACUAUGUCCGACGCCAGAACUAUCACUGCAAAAUGCAGGUCUCUUUGCUUCUUUUAAAUGUAAAUUUUCAUUACCCAACAUGAAAAGCACGUCUGACAUUGUGGGUCGAUCGAUCGCUUUUUCUUGCACACAUAACAAUCCAAUCUGAAUAAAACGCAAUACUUGAGGAAUUGAACAUGAGUUGCUCAAACAUUCAUCAAGUACUAUCAAACUUUUCCCUUCUUUGUAGAGUGUCCAAAUCUGCAGAAAUUUUGGUUAAAACCUUUGAAAAGUCACUCAUAAUUUAUGUAAUAUUCUUACCAUUUCCAGAAGAUAUACAUCUGGUUCAUAGUAUAUACGACUUUUCUUCCCACUAAUGAUUUCUAACAACAAUACUCCAAAGCUGAAGACAUCCGAUUUUAUAGAGAAUAUUCCACCAUUAGCAUACUCAGGAGACAUGUAUCCACUACAUCAAAAGAACAUUAAUCAUUGUGAUCAAUAGUGUGUAUCAAUCAAAAGAGUAUAUUGUAUGAUACCACAUACAUUGUUCCAAUAAUUCUUCCUGUGUUCUCUUGUAGUUGCUCUGCUACAAAUAGCCUGGCUGUGCCAAAGUCAGAUAUUUUUGGAUCCAUCAAAUUAUCAAGAAGAAC